rnacentral:lncRNA from 1 species
UUUAGACGCUUUACUGUACCAUUUUGUUAACAACCCUCGUAAAUCCUCUAGCGAUUGUACGUGUUGAAAUGUGACAAUAUGAGGUUUCUCUAGCUUUACUUCAGAAAUGAGGUCCGAUUUUUGUAAAUUGCUCUCUUUUAGGAUUUGCUUCUGUAAGUCUUUUGGAAGUUCCUUUAGUGUUAAAUAAUCAACGUUAGGCUUGUUAAUUGUUUUUGACUUCUUAGAAAUUUGUAAAAGUUUAUCAAAUGCAUUUUCUUGCCUUAUUUUUUUCUUUCCUCGUUCAUCUAUUUUAUUAUCCGCGUGAGAUUUUAAUGACAAACGUUUGUUCAUGGCAAUCUCAUGAUUAUCGUUUACUUCAUUUCUUAUAGGAGUAGGUAAUUCAACCAUAAACAAAGGAUCUAACUGGCUUGGAUAUUCCGUAAUACUUCGCUUUUGCAACCUCAAUUGCUGCUGUAUAUCAGACUGCAUCGAAGGUGGUAAUUGAGCUAGAGCACUGGAACUGAUUUGAGAAGAUGACGGCAGAUCAUACGGUGUUGAUGGAAUAAGUUUUGGAGACAGCUGCUUCUUUUGACUAAUUAUUUCUUUAUCUUUACUUGAUAUGUCAACAGAUGCACCUUUUAGCGACACUUUAUUUCGAGAAGUUAUGCUCUGUAUAGAGCGGUAAUCUUUUCUAAUUUUAGAGUUGUCUUUAAUAAUUUUGAGAGCUUGUAAUCCUAUACCACGUACAUCUCCUGGAUCGACAUUAAUUGUUUUAUACAUUGAGGUCACCUUCUUCCAUAUUAAGUCAAACGAAUUAGUAGCAGAAGUAAAAGUUGAAGAUUUUGUAAAUGAAGUGACUUCCCCAGCUCCAAGGUACUUUGGUGGACUGAAAGGGGCUCCAUCAGCCCUUUUCAAAAUCCGAAGCUGAAUUUGAUGCAAAAGCACUUGGCAUUUACCCAUUCUGGAAAGCAACUCAUGAAGCAACCGUUUUAAGAAAUCUAUCCCAUCCUCUUGAAAAACGAAACGAACACCCCAAUUAACAUCUACGGAUAUGGACCUCCGUGGGGUUUCAUUAUUGAUUAUAUCGGUAUCAAUUCCUCUGGAAAUAUUGUAUAAAUGCAGACCGUAAUUUACCCCAAAAGUCUCUUGAAGAUUGAAUUUUUCAAUUCUUUGCAGCUGCCCAAUAGUACGCACACCGUACAAAUUAAAAAGUUUCUGCGCUUGUGAAGAGCCCACCCCUGGUAAAUCUUGAACAGACAAAGGACUCAAUACAUCAAAAACAUUUUCUAUUGACAAAGAAUAAACGUUGUGAGGCUUCGCCUUCCUAAGUGCAAGUCUUGCUAAGAGAACAUUUGGGCCAAUACCAACGCUAACUUCGCAAUUGGUUUUCUCGCGAACCUGCGAGCGGAUAGACUCGGCAAUCUCAAAGCAAUCUUGAAAAGAUGAAACACUAGAAGUUAUAUCUAGAAGAGCCUCGUCUAUACUUAUAACCUUAAUAUAGUCGUGAAGUGUAUUAACAAGGAUAGUGUAAAAUUCUCUAGAAACAGAUUCGUAUGCUCCAAAAUCAUAAUCAACAACCCGUAAUGAAGGACACAGGUUUUUAGCUGUUCCAACGUACAUACCAUUUUUUAUGCCAAACUUCCGAGCCUCAUAAUUACAACUAGCUAUUUCGGAAUUUUUUAUACCAUGAGCAACAGCAACGGGCUUCAGUCGUAGCUCAUGAGAAAAGCGUGUUGAAACGGAAGCAAAAAAGCAAUCAAAAUCAACAUGAAGAAGGAAACGAGAUUUUUUUGAUUUAUCUUUCAUAAUUGGACGAACAGGUUCAGAAGCAGUAGUCAUUGCUUGGAUUUCAUUUUUAAAAUCAGCUUUCCAAGUACUUAAGUGAUGUAAACGAGAGGAGCUAAAGAAAUUCUCAAGAAAAUCUUGAUUUUGAGUGGUUGAAUUUCGGACAUUGGGAUUUUUUAACAAUUGAUAGUUGUGCAGUGAAGACGCUGAUAAUCCACUCAAAUCAUCUAAAAAUCCCUUUGCUUUACUCUCUUUUGUUUUAUCUUUUUCAUUAUCAUGUUCUUCUUCCUGCGAGCUUGUUUGAAUAUCUUCUAAGUUACCUUCGGGUUGGCUAGGUUUAGAGGCGACAAAAGAAAGGGUAGCUUGAGCCGAUGAAGCUUGAAAGGUACGAUAAUUUAUCCACGGAAGAAUUUUCUUCUGUUUGAUGCAAUCCACUAUCCAUUCUGGUUUAACCACUUUCUGAUGCUUCCAUUGGCGAGCUUUGGAAGGAGUGAGAAAUGAACACACCAAAUAUGAUAUGCUUGUUUUUCCAUCAACAUAUUGUAUAAAAGUACCUCCAUUUGAAACUAUCAUUUGCCGUAAUUCGGUAUAAGACGGCUUUGUAUAUCCAUUAAUCGCUAUUGCAAGUCCAUGAAAGAGAUCAGAUUUAGAAUCUUCAUCAAUACUUUUGUAUAGAGCGGCAUUUUGAUUUUGAAGCUUUCUUUGUUUCCGGGAAAAAUAAUCUGCAUAGUCGUGGAACCCAACACUUUCGUAUGCCUCAUCGUUUGCUUCGUCAAAGUCUGCAAUCCCUACUGGGCGUCGACGCUUCCUUUGAUUAAAAGCCAUCCAGCGCGCUUCUCACUUUCAGUAAAUAUAAGUAUUAAUAUGUUUCUGAAAGGAAAAUAAUACAAAUAAUAAUGUAGCCACUUAAGCGGAAAAAGUGUAAUUAAUAAACAAACAAUGUUUAUAAAGAAAAACUAACUGCAAGAGCUUUUUUCUUUCAUUAUUUAACCUUAUCCCAAAACUCGUGAAGCCAAACUAUUUCAAAGUAAAAAACAACGAAAUAUCAAAAAUAAUUACUACGCGUUUGUUGUGAUGCACGCUCGUCCAAAUUUAAUUAAUUUUGAGUAUAAUUUGCAAAUCGCGGUAAUACGCACUACCCUUACUUAAUGGAAUACACAACGGUUUAUGUAUCAAAAUUUUUUACAUCCUCUACCACCUCACCUCUUAGGCAAGAAUAAGUCAUGUCUCU